CCGCAUGAGGGCCUCAGCCACCGUUUCUGCGUGCAUGUUAGUCAGCGUCACCGCCUCUGCAUAUCUGGUAGCAUAGUCCACUACUGUUAAUAUAUAUUUCUUGCCAGAGAGUCUAGCCUUAUUUAAGGGGCCUACUAUGUCCACCGCUAUCCGGCUGAACGGUUCAUCCACUAUGGGUAAGAGAUGUAACUUGGAUUUUCUGCGGUCCUCCCUU